GUUUAUAUUUUAAAGCCUUUCGGCCAAUGAACAUUCGAUAGACUUGAGUUUGUAUAGAUAGAGAAAAUGCGCUUUCACGCCUUUUCUCUCAAUGUGCACAGGGGUUUAAAUGGAUUUAAGGGAUAGCGUGCACAAUCCUCGUGAAAGGCGGCACAGAAAUCCCAGGUUCAAUAAUGAUCCUUCCGCAGGUUCACCUACGGAAA
rnacentral:misc_RNA from 1 species